GCUGCUGGCAGGGUCUCUCUACUUCGUUUUCCCCAGAGGCUCUGGGAGUCAAACUAAAAAGUUCAAGUCUCCCCUAUCCCUAGUGACCCCAGACCUCAGAAGAACCCAUGAGUAUGAGUGAAUUCAGGAAUGUGUACAAGAAUUCUCGGAUAUGAUCACUUUCUCCCUCUUCUUGACACUCAGUUAUAAUUUGGGAGAUCUGGGAAGGUGGGGGGGGGGUCACUGAUCCCCCCAUUUUAGAGCCAAUCUUAGAGCACAUGUCAUGGAUUCCAUGCA
rnacentral:lncRNA from 1 species